GCGUUUGGUCUAGUGGUAUGAUUCUUGCUUUGGGUGCGAGAGGCCGCGAUUUCAAUUCUCGCAACGC
rnacentral:tRNA from 1 species